UGACCGCUGGCGGCAGGCCUAACACAUGCAAGUCGAACGGUAACAGGAAACAGCUUGCUGUUUCGCUGACGAGUGGCGGACGGGUGAGUAAUGUCUGGGAAACUGCCUGAUGGAGGGGGAUAACUACUGGAAACGGUAGCUAAUACCGCAUAACGUCGCAAGACCAAAGAGGGGGACCUUCGGGCCUCUUGCCAUCGGAUGUGCCCAGAUGGGAUUAGCUAGUAGGUGGGGUAACGGCUCACCUAGGCGACGAUCCCUAGCUGGUCUGAGAGGAUGACCAGCCACGCUGGAACUGAGACACGGUCCAGACUCCUACGGGAGGCAGCAGUGGGGAAUAUUGCACAAUGGGCGCAAGCCUGAUGCAGCCAUGCCGCGUGUAUGAAGAAGGCCUUCGGGUUGUAAAGUACUUUCAGCGGGGAGGAAGGGAGUAAAGUUAAUACCUUUACUCAUUGACGUUACCCGCAGAAGAAGCACCGGCUAACUCCGU
rnacentral:rRNA from 1 species